rnacentral:rRNA from 1 species
GUAUUGACCUUGGUCAAACAAUGUGUAGGAUAGCUGGGAGGCUUUGAACCUGCGUCGCCAGGCGUGGGGGAGCCGUUGUUGAAAUACCAGCCUUUGUUUGAUCGGGGCCUAACCCUCUUUAGAGGGAACAGUGCGUGGUGGGUAGUUUGACUGGGGUGGUCGCCUCCAAAAGAGUAACGGAGGCUUCUAAAGGUACCCUCAGCACGCUUGGUAACCGUGCGUAGAGUGCAAUGGCAUAAGGGUGCUUGACUGAGAGACAUACAGGUCGACCAGGUUGGAAACAAGAGCAUAGUGAUCCGGUGGUUCCGCAUGGAAGGGCCAUCGCUCAAAGGAUAAAAGGUACUCCGGGG